rnacentral:rRNA from 1 species
UGGGGAAUCUUGGACAAUGGGCGAAAGCCUGAUCCAGCCAUGCCGCGUGUGUGAAGAAGGUCUUCGGAUUGUAAAGCACUUUAAGUUGGGAGGAAGGGCAGUAAGCGAAUACCUUGCUGUUUUGACGUUACCGACAGAAUAAGCACCGGCUAACUCUGUGCCAGCAGCCGCGGUAAUACAGAGGGUGCAAGCGUUAAUCGGAAUUACUGGGCGUAAAGCGCGCGUAGGUGGUUCGUUAAGUUGAAUGUGAAAGCCCCGGGCUCAACCUGGGAACUGCAUCCAAAUCUGGCGAGCUAGAGUAGGGCAGAGGGUGGUGGAAUUUCCUGUGUAGCGGUGAAAUGCGUAGAUAUAGGAAGGAACACCAGUGGCGAAGGCGACCACCUGGGCUCAUACUGACACUGAGGUGCGAAAGCGUGGGGAGCAAACAGG